rnacentral:rRNA from 1 species
AACGAACGCUGGCGGCAUGCCUAACACAUGCAAGUCGAACGAGACCUUCGGGUCUAGUGGCGCACGGGUGCGUAACGCGUGGGAACCUGCCCUUAGGUUCGGAAUAACUCCCCGAAAGGGGUGCUAAUACCGGAUAAUGUCUUCGGACCAAAGAUUUAUCGCCUUUGGAUGGGCCCGCGUUGGAUUAGCUAGUUGGUAGGGUAAAAGCCUACCAAGGCGACGAUCCAUAGCUGGUUUGAGAGGAUGACCAGCCACACUGGGACUGAGACACGGCCCAGACUCCUACGGGAGGCAGCAGUGGGGAAUAUUGGACAAUGGGCGAAAGCCUGAUCCAGCAAUGCCGCGUGAGUGAUGAAGGCCUUAGGGUUGUAAAGCUCUUUUACCCGGGAUGAUAAUGACAGUACCGGGAGAAUAAGCUCCGGCUAACUCCGUG